rnacentral:tRNA from 1 species
AAAGGUGUUGUGACCUGCGGCGCAGAGUCUCGGGCAUUCUCGACCCGUCACCCUCAGACGAAUCCCAACACACUGCUAAUGCGGUUUGGGACUUCAAUCCCAUCGAGGGUUCAAAUCCCUCCGCCU